rfam:Neochlamydia sp. EPS4 DB42_DM, whole genome shotgun sequence.
GGGAGCGGUAUGAAUUGAGAGGUUCCUGUACCGUUCUACGAGAGGCUUGUGGGGAAGUUCCACAGGUCGACUCACC